ACAGUGGUAAAUAAAAAAGUAUAAAAUAUGUAACCAUGGGGACUUUUAUGCCAAUGAAGUUGUCCACACACCUUGGGAUUGAGGACUACAUGCAGGAUCCAGAGGAAUUCAAAUAGAGCAAAAUAAUUCUUAGACUCUCCAGCCAGAAAUCAAGGAGAUGCUUAAAUUAACCGCUCAGAAGUGGGCACAUACAAAUUUCAGUUAUUUAGCUUAAGGUUAUAUUUUUAAAGGUCAUAUCACCAGGAACACCACUGAAAGUGACAAAAUUACUUUUGUCUUCCAGUAUGUUUAACAGUAUCUCUCAAGAGACAAAUUAAUUGUAGAUAUAAGAAUUUGACAUCAAUACCAAACCUAUGCAGUGUUAAGUUUAAUAGCUAUUGUUAAGAAAAAUAGCUACUGGAAGAAAUAAACAUCAUGGAGAAAUCUUGUUUAUUUCAAAGUACACAUAGGGUUUUGGCAUAUUAUUUUUAAAUCCUUUAAAUCUCUGUAUAACAGUGCUUUUGAUUUAAAUUUGAUUUACUGAUUACAGAAAAUACCACUUUUAGAAAAUCUUCACCUUUCUUUUCUGCUCUUCAAAAUGAAAAAUAAAACAUUCAGACUGUAUUUUCUUUAAGUGAAAUACUUUAUGUUAUAUAGAAUUUCAUAGCUUUUUGGUUUUUUAUCAUACUGGUAGCUCAACAGUAAUGAAGGCAUUCCUAUCUUGAUUUUUCCCACAUAUACUGUAAUUAAAAAAUUGGGGAAAGUAUUUUAAUGAAUGCAGUCUUUCAAAAUUCUUA
rnacentral:lncRNA from 1 species